rnacentral:rRNA from 1 species
GUGUCAGCCGCCGCGGUAAUACGGAGGGGGCGAGCGUUGUUCGGAAUUACUGGGCGUAAAGGGCGCGUAGGCGGUCCGGUCAGUUGGAGGUGAAAGCCCUGGGCUCAACCUGGGAGGUGCCUUCAAUACGGCCGGACUUGAGAACGGGAGAGGAUGACGGAAUUCCCAGUGUAGAGGUGAAAUUCGUAGAUAUUGGGAAGAACACCAGUGGCGAAGGCGGUCAUCUGGCCCGUUUCUGACGCUGAGGCGCGAAAGCGUGGGGAGCAAACAGGAUUAGAUACCCUGGUAGUCCACGCCGUAAACGAUGUGCGCUAGCCGUCGGGGGACGCAGUCUCUCGGUGGCGCAGCUAACGCGAUAAGCGCACCGCCUGGGGAGUACGGCCGCAAGGUUAAAACUCAAAUGAAUUGGCGGGG